CCGACCUUAGCUCAGUUGGUAGAGCGGAGGACUGUAGUGGUUGAACCUCGGGAAUCCUUAGGUCGCUGGUUCGAAUCCGGCAGGUCGGA
rnacentral:tRNA from 2 species